UACGUAGGGUGCAAGCGUUGUCCGGAAUCAUUGGGCGUAAAGCGCGCGUAGGUGGCUUUGUAAGUCCGCUGUGAAAGUCAAAGGCUCAACCUUUGAAAGCCGGUGGAUACUGUGGAGCUAGAGUCCGGAAGAGGCGAGUGGAAUUCCUGGUGUAGCGGUGGAAUGCGCAGAUAUCAGGAGGAACACCAAUAGCGAAGGCAGCUCGCUGGGACGGUACUGACACUGAGGCGCGAAAGCGUGGGGAGCGAACAGG
rnacentral:rRNA from 1 species